rnacentral:rRNA from 1 species
GUCUACGGCCAUGCUACCUUGAACUAGCCCAAUCUCAUCUGAUCUAGGAAGCUAAGCUGGGUUGGACCUGGUUAGUACUUGGAUGGGAGACCACCCAGGAAGACCAGGUGCUGUAGGCA